UGCGCAUGUUGUUGAUACUUGGACGGAUGUGCAUAUGAAAAAAUCGACGAAAACUUUUGUCAACGAGGCAGCCCAACAAGAUUAUGAAAAAAUAGCGGCGGAGCUUGAGAGGUCACAACUUGAAAGGCAGUCUCAACAUUAGAGUGAGGGGUCUGGUGCUGAAUCUGGCGUUGAUUCGUCCCCAGUCGAUCAAUACGAGAUACUAAGCAAAGUAAUCGGGGAGAGAUCUGACUACCAAAGAGGAGUGGGUUAUUGAGUUAAAGGGAAAAGGAGAACGUCAACCUCCAGCUCUACAAAUAAAAGUUAGUCCCAAGCACAUAUUGCUCGUACGCCCCAAGAAGAUAUGAUUACUAUGGCUCUGAUGUUGAAAGCAAUGCGUGAGACGAUUCAGAUGAUGACACCUCAACAAUCCAGUAAUCGGUAUGACCCACGGUUUGACAGCUUUCUACAGAGGUAUUUUCCAUCACAAUCUGAAGGUGGUACGUCUUCUCGAGGUAACACCGCCACAUCAACAGUACCAACCUCCACCACAGUAUCUGCCAUAUAUGUCGUCGCAACAACCUCCACCACAGUAUCCGCCAUAUAUGUCGUCGCAACAACCUCCACCACAGUAUCCGCCAUAUAUGUCGUCGCAAUAACCUCUACAGAAUCAAAAUCAGUACAUGUUUGUACGCUCUUCCCAGUCUCCUCCCCUCUAUUUUAUCUUUACUGAAUUUCCAGGGGGAUCAAUGCAACAUCCGCAACAGCGACCAUAUUUUAGAUAUGGUGAUUUUGGGGGCGAGUCGCAGCAACAGGAGCAACCUAUUUUAUCCACCCCGAUACGCCCAUAGCAUC